GCACUACUGAUGAGUCCCAAACAGGACGAAAAAUCUGUCCAGUGC
rnacentral:hammerhead_ribozyme from 1 species